rnacentral:rRNA from 1 species
AAUGAACGCUGGCGGCAUGCCUAACACAUGCAAGUCGAACGAAGGCUUCGGCCUUAGUGGCGCACGGGUGCGUAACGCGUGGGAAUCUGCCCUCAGGUUCGGAAUAACAGCGAGAAAUGGCUGCUAAUACCGGAUGAUAUCGCGAGAUCACAGAUUUAUCGCCUGAGGAUGAGCCCGCGUAGGAUUAGCUAGUUGGUGUGGUAAAGGCGCACCAAGGCGACGAUCCUUAGCUGGUCUGAGAGGAUGAUCAGCCACACUGGGACUGAGACACGGCCCAGACUCCUACGGGAGGCAGAAGUGGGGAAUAUUGGACAAUGGGCGAAAGCCUGAUCCAGCAAUGCCGCGUGAGUGAUGAAGGCCUUAGGGUUGUAAAGCUCUUUUACCCGGGAUGAUAAUGACAGUACCGGGAGAAUAAGCUCCGGCUAACUCCGUGCCAGCAGCCGCCGUAA